rnacentral:rRNA from 1 species
AUGCCUUACACAUGCAAGUCGAACGGCAGCACGGGGCAACCUGGUGGCGAGUGGCGAACGGGUGAGUAAUGCAUCGGAACGUGCCAUUGAGUGGGGGAUAACGUAGCGAAAGUUGCGCUAAUACCGCAUAUUCUGUGAGCAGGAAAGCAGGGGACCGCAAGGCCUUGCGCUCUUUGAGCGGCCGAUGUCAGAUUAGCUAGUUGGUGAGGUAACGGCUUACCAAGGCGACGAUCUGUAGCGGGUCUGAGAGGAUGAUCCGCCACACUGGAACUGAGACACGGUCCAGACUCCUACGGGAGGCAGCAGUGGGGAAUUUUGGACAAUGGGCGCAAGCCUGAUCCAGCCAUGCCGCGUGAGUGAAGAAGGCCUUCGGGUUGUAAAGCUCUUUCGGCCGGGAAGAAAUCGCAUGGGUUAAUACCCUGUGUGGAUGACGGUACCGGAAUAAGAAGCACCGGCUAACUACGUG